UACGUAGGGGGCAAGCGUUGUCCGGAAUCAUUGGGCGUAAAGCGCGUGUAGGCGGCCAUGUAAGUCCGUUCUGAAAGCCCGGGGCUCAACCCCGGGAGGCGGAUGGAUACUGCAUGGCUCGAGUACGGAAGAGGCGAGUGGAAUUCCCGGUGUAGCGGUGAAAUGCGCAGAUAUCGGGAGGAACACCAAUGGCGAAGGCAGCUCGCUGGGACGUUACUGACGCUGAGACGCGAAAGCGUGGGGAGCAAACAGG
rnacentral:rRNA from 1 species